rnacentral:rRNA from 1 species
CAGUAGCCGCGGGAAUACGAAGGGGGCUAGCGUUGCUCGGAAUGACUGGGCGUAAAGGGCGCGUAGGCGGUUUAUACAGUCAGAUGUGAAAUUCCUGGGCUCAACCUGGGGACUGCAUUUGAUACGUAUGGACUUGAGUGGAGAAGAGGGUCGUGGAAUUUCCAGUGUAGAGGUGAAAUUCGUAGAUAUUGGAAAGAACACCGGUGGCGAAGGCGGCGACCUGGUCUUUAACUGACGCUGAGGCGCGAAAGCGUGGGGAGCAAACAGGAUUAGAUACCCCUGUAGUCCCUGUCUCUUAUAC